AGUAUUCAAUAGAACAGAGAAGUGGGAAGAAAGAUUAAUUGUGCAGGAAUCUAAUCUCCUCAUUGGGCCCAGAUAUUAGAGGCAAGAAAGUUGAUGGAUUUUGUCAGAGAAUCCGGCAUGGCUCAGACAGUCACUCAGUCUCAACCAGAGAUGUCUGUGCAGGAGGCAGAGACCGUGACUCUGAGCUGCACAUACGACACCAGUGACAGUGAUUAUUAUUUGUUCUGGUACAAGCAGCCUCCCAGCAGGCAGAUGAUUCUCAUUAUUCGCCAAGAAGCUUAUAAGCAACAGAAUGCAACGGAGAACCGCUUCUCUGUGAACUUUCAGAAAGCAACCAAAUCCUUCAGUCUCAAGAUCUCAGACUCACAGCUGGGGGACGCCGCGAUGUAUUUCUGUGCUUAUAGGAGCGCACAGUGAAAUAAGCAACAGGGAGAGGCUUACAGAAACCUCAGACCUCAGCAUCUGUGUAAAGGUCAGGGGGAAGUGUUCAGGGUU